rnacentral:rRNA from 1 species
AGUGAACGCUGGCGGCGUGCUUAACACAUGCAAGUCGAACGAGAACGGAUUAUAGCUUGCUAUAAUUGUCAGCUAAGUGGCGCACGGGUGAGUAAUGUAUAGGUAAUAUGCCUCUUACUAAGGGAUAACAAAUGGAAACGUUUGCUAAUACCUUAUACUCCUUAUUAACAGAAGUUAAUAAGGGAAAGAUUUAUUGGUAAGAGAUUAGCCUGUAUUGUAUCAGUUAGUUGGUGGGGUAAUGGCUUACCAAGACUAUGACACAUAACUGGUUUGAGAGGAUGGUCAGUCACACUGGAACUGAGACACGGUCCAGACUCCUACGGGAGGCAGCAGCGGGGAAUAUUGCACAAUGGACGAAAGUCUGAUGCAGCAACGCCGCGUGGAGGAUGACACAUUUCGGUGCGUAAACUCCUUUUAUAUGAGAAGAUAAUGACGGUAUUAUAUGAAUAAGCACCGGCUAACUCCGUGCCAGCCGCCGCGGUAA